AUGGAGGGAGAGUGGACAAGAAUGCAUCGCUUCCCAAGUGCCUGCAAGUUUUGUGAAUUAUUGAUUUCUGCACUUAUUUUUUCCACCUACUGGAGCCACACGUGUUCAGGUCCUCGCUAUCCUCGCCAAUGUUUCGUAUAUGAAGGGGAUAAUCCUGGUUCUUUGGCAACUAGAGAAGCAAGCUGGACAAACUUUUGGCCAUUCAAAAACUCGAUGAUCAUGACAUCGGAAAUCCCUGCCUACCAAACAGUGUUUUAUAUGGAGGGGUUGUGGCUGGAGAGGGAUUUGAGUUGCCAGGUUCCUCUUCCUCCCCCGCACGCUGCAGCUCCGUGCCUAGUUUUCCCGUCGCCGGCCACCUCCUCCCCCGUCGCCGGCCACCUUCUUCCCGCCCGGCUGCGACCUGGCAGCGCCCCGGUCGUGCUCUACCCGCCCUGGCCGCGCCCCGGCCAAUCUCUCCCUGCCCAGCUGCGUCUCGCCCACGCCCCGGGCUUCGCAUCUGGCUGGCUGCGUCCCGCCUGCGCCCCGGGCUCCGCAUCCGGCUGGCUGCUGUUGGCCGCGCCUCGCGCCCAGCCUCUGCAUCUGGCUGGCUGCUGCUGGUCGCGCCCCGUGCCCAGGCAACGCAUCUGGCUGGCUGCUGCUGGCUCCUCUGCUGCCGCAGGAGCAGCCCAGGGCCGGCCCUCCUCGUGGCUUCCCGCUUCCUCCCGAUUCCCCACUCGGGGCUGCAUCGGGCUAGCGAGAAAACAGAGUUCUCUCAUGUCUUCUUCGGGCUAUGUUGCUAUACCUCGGUGCUCAGUGAUCUUCGAUGGCACCAACUAUGCUGAGUUUGUGGGAUUCAUGCGCAUCCAUAUGCGUGGUCUUCUUCUCUGGGGUGUUCUUUCUGGUGAGGUUCCCUGCCCGCCAUGCCCUGUCGCGCCUGUGGCCCCAAUCCCACCGGUGCCGCCGGUACUUGCUCCUGAGGCUUCCCAGGCUGACCGGGAUGCCGCCAAGGCCAUUGAUGAUGUUGCAGUUGAUGCCUACGAUCAGCAGGUAUCUUCUUACUCCGAUGCUCUUUCGGCGUACCGGGAUGAUCUAUCUGCUUACACUCAGUGGUGCAAUGAUGAUGCUCGUGCUGCUGCUGUUCUUACUGCCAGUGUCCUCCCUCAGUUUGCUUCGGAGUUCAUGGGACUUGGCACAGUUGCAGCAAUGUGGUCUUACCUUUGUCAGCGCUAUCAGCCCUCUGGUGAUGCUCUCUAUCUCUCUGUGGUGCGUCAGGAGCACGCCCUCCAGCAAGGUGAUUCCUCUGUUGAUGAGUUCUACUCACAGUGCUCUGCCAUCUGGCGUCAGCUUGACUCUCUUCGAACAGUUGUUUGUGGCACCUGUCGUUGCUGUCAGACUACUCGGUCUGAUCUGGAGUUUCAGCGGGUCCAUGAGUUCUUAUCUCGUCUCCGCUCUGAGUUUGAGCCCAGACGUGCUCACUUGCUUGCUCGUGGUCGUGUUCCAAUCUCGGGGAUGCUUGCUGAGCUUCGUGCUGAGGUGACCCGCCUUCGUUCUGCUGGUUUGCUGGUGGUCCCGUCUGUGUUGGCUGCUCAGGCUCCUGUGUCGUCUGCUCGGCUCACCGCUCCACCACUCCUCCCCACACCUUCAGGGGGCACCUCUCAUUCCUUCUCCUUCACCACCUACCCCAUCUUCUCCAUCCUUGUCCUCCACCUCUCCACCAUCAUCUCCCAAGUCUCCCCUGACGCGCCUUCCACCUCUGGUGCACCUCUCCUCACGCCUCCCCCGGUUCACAACCUCCGGGCUCGGCCUCGCCCCCCGCCUGAUCGCUACUCCCUUGAUCGAUUUCUGAUGUUUGGUUAUGAAGUCUUUACACCUGUUGAUGCAAGUUUGCAUUACUUUGGUAGGUUUUUUGACCUCUUUCCAUUGUCUUUCCUUAGCAAUUUCGCAAGGUUGUCCUUUUUGUAUGUCUGCGGAGCCUGGCACAUCUCCAUGUUUCUAACAUUCCUUGAAAGUGGCAGACCUAGAAAUUGUGGUUUGCUGAGGCAACAGAUGACGAUAAAGAUCAAUUGCCCUAUGUUUGUUAAUGGACUGAGCCCUAUGGAAGCCGUCCCACAACCCCAAAAUAUAGUUGAGUAUUCUGUACGACUUAAGUUCAGUUCAUUUAAAUCCCUAGCCUUUGGCGCGAAGCAACCCUGGCCGUCCAUCGCCCAUCCGACGCUCCAUCUCCGCUCGUACCGCUUCGCGAACUCCUCUAGGUCUGACAAGUGGUUUGGGCGCGGGAAAAGGUUGCAGAAACACAUUGUUUCUGCGGUAAAAUCCCUCCCUCCCUCCCAGAUCCGGUGUACUUCCGGCGGCGCGGCGUUGGCGGCGGUGCAGGCGGCGGUAGGAUCGAAGGCCAAGGUCGGGUUGCAGCCCCAGCUGUGUCUUCGUGCUAGCAUGACAGGCCCUGAAAAUUCCUCCUCCACGGAGAACUUGGAGUUCCAAUCAUUGCAACUGGAUGUCAAAACCCUGCAGCGAAACAGGGAAACUGACAGACAAGACUUCGAAGAUUUCAGAGACCAUGUUGCCACCAAUUUUCAAACCUUGCAGAAAACCUUGGGCGAACUACAGGGCCCUUUGAACAGCUUCAUUGCACGUUUUCCCAAACCCAGGGAAACUCCUCCCAACCCUCAAGAUGUGGCACAGGGUAGUGGACAACAGCAAACUCCCCAAGGUCCAAAUCAUGCACCAGCCACGGUCCUCCAGACUCCUCCUACUGUUGGAUCUGCCACGUUAGUGGACAAGAACACUGGAAAAGAGCUUAACUUGGAUGGCAGCAACCGAGUCCCUUAUAGGCACCCUCACUUUGCUGCAAGUAAACACCCAAUUCCUGAAAACAGAGUUCACACUGCUGUUAACCAAGUGCAGAAUGGUCAACAGGUGGUUCAGCUGGACAUGGAGCAAGCUGAACAAAUCCCACAACAGGAAGCUAGGGCCUUUGGCGUGAAGCAACCCUGGCCGUCCAUCGCCCAUCCGACGCUCCAUCUCCGCUCGUACCGCUUCGCGAUUCGAGUGAAAUUCUCCCCUGUUUCUCUGAAUAUUGUUCUUCAGACUCCUCUGGGUCUGACAUACCAGGGCAUCUUGUGCGUCACCGUGCGAUGGAGCUGCUGGCAUUAUGACAGGAAACCACUAUUAGCAUCUGAGAGAGCAACAUUCAUGGCAUUAGCCUUCUGUAGAUGGGUGAAAAAUAGAACUUACUUGAUGUUGCCUGAUUGCUCAAUGGAGCUGUCUUGUGGCCGCUGGAGGAAGACAACUCCAAAGUGCUAA
rnacentral:rRNA from 1 species